rnacentral:rRNA from 1 species
AUUGAACGCUGGCGGCAGGCCUAACACAUGCAAGUCGAACGGUAACAGGAAGCAGCUUGCUGCUUCGCUGACGAGUGGCGGACGGGUGAGUAAUGUCUGGGAAACUGCCUGAUGGAGGGGGAUAACUACUGGAAACGGUAGCUAAUACCGCAUAACGUCGCAAGACCAAAGAGGGGGACCUUCGGGCCUCUUGCCAUCGGAUGUGCCCAGAUGGGAUUAGCUUGUUGGUGGGGUAACGGCUCACCAAGGCGACGAUCCCUAGCUGGUCUGAGAGGAUGACCAGCCACACUGGAACUGAGACACGGUCCAGACUCCUACGGGAGGCAGCAGUGGGGAAUAUUGCACAAUGGGCGCAAGCCUGAUGCAGCCAUACCGCGUGUAUGAAGAAGGCCUUCGGGUUGUAAAGUACUUUCAGCGGGGAGGAAGGGAGUAAAGUUAAUACCUU